rfam:Alligator mississippiensis ScZkoYb_3671, whole genome shotgun sequence.
AUGGAAAGCAUUGUACCCAGGGUCUGGUGCUCAGACAUUGCACCUGGAGCUUCCCGCUGUGUAAUAAAGUUGUUU